UGUAAUUUAGGCCUAGCCCUCCUGUCUGCUUUCCUCUGAUUCAAUAUUCAGUAGUAUUCAGUCUGAACUUCUUUGGGUCUGACACGCAAGCUACCGCCGCCGCGGGUCAAGGGUUGUGAACUCAUGCGCAUUGAGUAAAUUUCAGGAAGAUGAGCAAUGGAUGUAUGCCAUGGGGUGUGGGUGCCUGAAGUCCAAGUGCGUCAAUCUCAGCACGACGUGAGGUGCACUGCAUUACUGCAAAAUGCCAGUGUAUAGACUGUGAUAUCGUCCCCAGAACAAAACAGACUCAGAGUGAUGCUAGUUCCCUAACCUAUGAAGAACCUAGGAUGGCAACACCACACAAUAUGACGAGACUUUGGAUCAAAACAAACGUCUAACAAAUUUUCUGAAGCAUCCAGUCCUUCAAUAUCAUCGUGGCCAUCCACUGAGAUAUCGUCCACAUCAAACCCUGUUUCAGUUCCAUAAAAAUGUUAAUCGGUCAAUCCUUGGACAUCAGAGAAGUGGUAACACUCAUAGUUUCUCAGACUUCAGAGAGAUGGUAGCAUAGAAGUGUUGAAUACAGGCAUUCCCAGCUUAGUUCCAAUGAAGAAGAAGAAGAAGCUCACAUGCAGUGCAAGGGAAUCCACCGAAAGCAGUGACUGGCCGGGUUGCUGCGGUGGGGCAAAUCCACUUGAUCUACAUCAGCAUAAGCAUCAAGGUGAAUAAACCAAUGUACAGAGAAAACUGUUGUUAGUUGCUAUUAAACAUUUUCUUGAAUGAUAGUUGCUACUGAGCAUGAUGAGCAACAGUGAUCUGGAGACAACUCACUGAUGUUAAGGGAACUUUGGAUGAUUUGCCAUCCUACCGGGAGGCGUAUUACCAAAUGCCACUUUCUUCGUGAACUUUAACU